AUGAACGCUGGCGGUGUGCCUUAGGCAUGCAAGUCGAGCGAAUAUAAUCCGCAAGGAUUGUAUUAGCGGCGGACGGGUGAGUAAUAGUAAGGAAUCUACCUUUUAGUGGGGCAUAGCUUUCCGAAAGGAAAGAUAAUUCCCCAUAUGUCCCGAUUUAUCGGGAUGAAAGAGCGUAACUGCUCGCUAAGAGAUGAGCCUUAUUCCUAUCAGCUUGUUGGUGGGGUAAUGGCCUACCAAGGCAAUGACGGGUAGCUGGACUGAGAGGUCGGUCAGCCACAAUAGCACUGAGACACGGGCUAUACACCUACGGGUGGCAGCAACCAGGAAUAUUGGGCAAUGGACGAAAGUCUGACCCAGCGACACCGCGUGGAGGAUGAAGGCUUUAGGGUUGUAAACUCCUUUUAUUUUGUCACAUGACAAGAUGAAUAAGUCCCCGCAAACUACGU
rnacentral:rRNA from 1 species